rnacentral:piRNA from 1 species
UCCAAUGUUUCCAGGACCUGCUCAGGAAAG